GGGCCCGCACAAGCGGCGGAGCAUGUUGCUUAAUUCGAUGCAACGCGAAGAACCUUACCUGGGUUUGACAUGCACCAGACGCACUCAGAGAUGGGUGUUCCCUUGUGGUUGGUGUGCAGGUGGUGCAUGGCUGUCGUCAGCUCGUGUCGUGAGAUGUUGGGUUAAGUCCCGCAACGAGCGCAACCCUUGUUCCAUGUUGCCAGCGGGUUAUGCCGGGGACUCAUAGGAGACUGCCGGGGUCAACUCGGAGGAAGGUGGGGAUGACGUCAAAUCAUCAUGCCCCUUAUGUCUAGGGCUGCAAACAUGCUACAAUGGCCGGUACAAAGGGCUGCGAUACCGCGAGGUGGAGCGAAUCCCAAAAAGCCGGUCUCAGUUCGGAUUGGGGUCUGCAACUCGACCCCAUGAAGUUGGAGUCGCUAGUAAUCGCAGA
rnacentral:rRNA from 1 species